CCUACGGGUGGCAGCAGUGAGGAAUAUUGGUCAAUGGACGAGAGUCUGAACCAGCCAAGUAGCGUGAAGGAUGACUGCCCUAUGGGUUGUAAACUUCUUUUAUAUGGGAAUAAAAUGUUCCACGUGUGGGCUUUUGUAUGUACCAUAUGAAUAAGGAUCGGCUAACUCCGUGCCAGCAGCCGCGGUAAUACGGAGGAUCCGAGCGUUAUCCGGAUUUAUUGGGUUUAAAGGGAGCGUAGGUGGAUUGUUAAGUCAGUUGUGAAAGUUUGCGGCUCAACCGUAAAAUUGCAGUUGAAACUGGCAGUCUUGAGUACAGGAGAGGUAGGCGGAAUGCGUGGUGUAGCGGUGAAAUGCUUAGAUAUCACGAAGAACUCCGAUUGCGAAGGCAGCUCACUGGCCUGCAACUGACGCUGAGGCUCGAAAGUGUGGGUAUCAAACAGGAUUAGAUACCCGAGUAGUC
rnacentral:rRNA from 1 species